AUGGCCACUAACAAAUCUUUCUCCUACACUAAGGAUGAGGGCAAAGCUAUCAUUGUAGAAGACACUCUUCUGGAACUGGACUUUAACCAGGAACAUGCACAGAGGACAGAUACACGUAAACUGCACAUUGAUCUUCAAAAACUUUCUGAAAAAGAGGUGAAGCUGAAUCUUCAUAUCAUUACCCUAUCUGACUACUGGAGGCAGGACAUGAUCCCAAGAGGUUUGAGAUUGAAUAAAUUUCCCUCAUUUGGCUAUGAUAAUGUGGAUUUUAAGGAUAAAUGGGAAGCAAUUCUCAACAAAUGCUCCCUAGACUUAAUCCUCUUGUUAAUUGAAGAAGCCAGAAAGCAGAAGUCAGUUGUACAAUCUCAGAUUGAGGAUUUGAAAUCUCAGCUCACCCAGACAGAAUCAGAGGAACACAGGUUGCCUUUUGAAAAUAAACUAAAAGAAGAUCUUGAUAAACUGUCAACAAAAUUGAAACAAGGCAAAAUAAUCAAAUUUAAGCGAGACCGUAAUGACUAUAGUAAUUGUUCUAUAUAUGGCUGGGGCAAGAAGGGACACCUGACAAAAAAAGAAGAGUGUCUUUUUAAUCUUCCAAGCACUGAUGAUGAGAACUAUGAUGAAACUCAUGUCACUAAUGACCGUGACAAAAUUGCUGAUGUGUAUGACAGAAAUGCUUUUUUGGAAUCUCGCCCCAGACAGCACAACCAACCUUACAAAAGAGGAAGAGGAAAACGCGGAGGGGUGGAAAGUGGCGGAACCCACUCUCAGGAACCACCAAUCACAAGGAGCCGGUUGAAGCAUCGGUAGACCAUUUGACACCAAAGUGGACCUCUAUCGAUUCUAUAGAAGUCUACAUUUGAAGGCCUGGUACUCCCAGAACGCACAGGGUGCAGCUACCUACUCAACCACCACGGUAAACUCUUCUUUUCGGCCCAAGUCUACUUUUUCACCUUGUACCACAAAUCCCAUAUUGACUACUUUCACCAAAAAGGUGUCCUAUGAAGUAGAAAAGCUUUACAGUAAACAAAAAAAGAUCACCCAGCAUAAUCUUACACAAAAUGAAUCUCAAGCACUUAAGUGGCUUUCGGAGAGAGAUGAUAUAAUUAUAAAAAGUGCUGAUAAGGGUGGUGCUGUCUGUGUGUGGGACAAGAAGAAGUAUAUAAGUGAAGCUCUUCGCCAACUAGACAACACUCAGUAUUACU
ensembl:lncRNA